AGGACGAACGCUGGCGGCGUGCCUAACACAUGCAAGUCGAACGAGGCUUAUCCGGUAGCAAUACCGGAGACUGCCUAGUGGCGAACGGGUGAGUAGCACGUGAGCAACCUGCCCCGAAGACUGGGAUAACACCGGGAAACCGGUGCUAAUACCAGAUGCCCCCACCGGAUCGCAUGAUCUGGUGAGGAAAGGAUUCCGCUUCGGGAGGGGCUCGCGGCCUAUCAGCUAGUUGGUGAGGUAACGGCUCACCAAGGCUUCGACGGGUAGCUGGUCUGAGAGGACGAUCAGCCACACUGGGACUGAGACACGGCCCAGACUCCUACGGGAGGCAGCAGUGGGGAAUCUUGCACAAGUGGGCGCAAGCCUGAUGCAGCAACGCCGCGUGAGGGACGAAGGUUUUCUGAGUUGUAAACCUUCUUUCAGCAGGGACGAUUGUGACGGUACCUGCAGAAGACGCCCCGGCAACUACGUGCCAGCAGCCGCGGUAAU
rnacentral:rRNA from 1 species